CAGUAGCCGCGGGAAUACAGAGGGUGCGAGCGUUAAUCGGAUUUACUGGGCGUAAAGCGUGCGUAGGCGGCUUCUUAAGUCGGAUGUGAAAUCCCUGAGCUUAACUUAGGAAUUGCAUUCGAUACUGGGAAGCUAGAGUAUGGGAGAGGAUGGUAGAAUUCCGGGUGUAGCGGUGAAAUGCGUAGAGAUCUGGAGGAAUACCGAUGGCGAAGGCAGCCAUCUGGCCUAAUACUGACGCUGAGGUACGAAAGCAUGGGGAGCAAACAGGAUUAGAUACCCCCGUAGUCCCUGUCUCUUAUAC
rnacentral:rRNA from 1 species